CAUGAACGCUGGCGGCGGGCCUAAUACAUGCAAGUCGAGCGAACGGACGAGAAGCUUGCUUCUCUGAUGGUAGCGGCGGACGGGGGAGUAAAACGUGUGGAACCUACCUAUAAGACUGGGAUAACUUCGGGAAACCGGAGCUAAUACCGGAUAAUAGUUGCAACCGCAUGGUGCAAAAGUGAAAGACGGUCUGGCAGUCACUGAGAGAUGGAGCCGCGCUGCAUUAGCUAGUUGGUAAGGUAACGGCUUACCAAGGCAACGAUGCAUAGCCGACCUGAGAGGGUGAUCGGCCACACUGGAACUGAGACACGGUCCAGACUCCUACGGGAGGCAGCAGUAGGGAAUCUUGCGCAAUGGGCGCAAGCCUGACGGAGCAACGCCGCGUGAGUGAUGAAGGUCUUCGGAUCGUAAAACUCUGUUAUUAGGGAAGAACAUAUGUGUAAGUAACUGUGCACAUAUUGACGGUACCUAAUCAGAAAGCAACGGCUAACUACGUG
rnacentral:rRNA from 1 species